rnacentral:sRNA from 1 species
CAUGAGGCUCUGGACUCUCCAGUGGGUUCAGGACUUGUUUUGCAAUCCCUCUGGGUUACAUCUGUCUCAUGCCCAAGGAAGAGCCGAGGAGUGGAGCCUUCUGUUGUUCACUGGUACUCAUCCAUCCACACUAUUGAGAUCAGGUCUUCCCCAUAUGGGGGAAAGUAAACAACAGAGAGAAAACUCAAGAGCUUGGACCUUCUUUCCCCCCAGCAGACUAUGUACUGUAAUUAAGAACACAGCUUGGAGUCAGGCAGUUCUGGGUUUGAAUUUGGCUUUAUUUACUGUUGAUGUUAUCUUGAAUUAGUCACUUAGCUUGACCCAACCUGUUUUAGCAAAAUGGAGAUAAUUUGCUCAGUACACAGAGCCCUUAGUGCAGAGCCCAGCAUAUGGUAGGUGCUCAGUGCUUGUAAAUCCCAAUCUCUUUGUUCCAGAGAUUGAUUUCAGCCUCCCUGACCCAGUGGAGGAGGGCAAGGGUUGGCCUAGAGGGGGACCCAAAGAUCCAGGGAGGCAUGCCCCUGACUUCAUUUUUUCUUGAGCACCUACUUAGUGCCAGGCCUUGUGUGGGGCCUUAGGGUACCAGGGUGAACAAUUUGGUCCUGACUCCAAGCUGAAGGAAAGAGGAGACCCCCUGACUUAAAGUCUGGAGGUGGCUUGGUCCAGCUGGGUGCACUGGCCCUCUGCAGACUGAGAGCAAGGGCCUUGGCUGAGGUGGGAUGGCAUGUAGGAAGAGUUGAUUUAACAGUGUCUUUCCCUGUUGCAGACCCCCCACCCAACCUGCCCUACUUUGUACGACGCUCUCGGAUGCACAACAUCCCUGUCUACAAGGACAUCACGCAUGGCAACCGGCAGAUGACUGUGAUCCGGAAAGUGGAAGGGGACAUCUGGGCCCUGCAGAAAGAUGUGGAAGAUUUUCUGAGCCCGCUGCUGGGGAAGACACCCGUCACCCAGGUCAAUGAGGUGACAGGUACCCUACGGAUCAAGGGCUACUUUGACCAGGAGCUUAAAGCCUGGCUCUUGGAGAAAGGCUUCUGAGGCCCAGCUGAGCAGCCUGCAUGUCAGCAUGCCCUGUGGAUCAAGUCUAGGGGGCCUCAGGAGGAGGGAGGUGGGUGUUGGAGCCCCUGAGACGGGAUACAGAAACUAGGGCUAAAGGACUUUGGGGUCAGGCCUUGUUUGCAUAAAGGAGAAAACGACUCUAUGUACAUGCUGGGGGAGAGUGCCUAAUGUGGGAGACCAAAUAGGAAUAACCAGGCUAAUGGGGGGCAUCAGCAGCUUUCUCUCCCUCCUAUCUUGGCCUGUUCUUUUUUGUUUUUUGAGACGGAGUCUCACUCUCUUGCCCAGGGUGGAGUGCAGUGGCAUGAUCUUGGCUCACUGCAACUUCCACCUCUGGGAUCAAGUGAUUCUCCUGCCUCAGCCUCCUGAGUAGCUGGGAUUACAGGCGCCCACCACCACAGCCUGGUAAUUUUUGUAUUUUUAGUAGAGAUGGGGUUUCACCAUGUUGGCCAGGCUGGUCUCAAACUCCCAACUCGAAGUGAUCCGCCCACCUUGGCCUCCCAAAGUGCUGGGAUCAUAGGCAUGAGCCAUGUGCCUGGUGCACCUUGGCCUGUUUCGUUUUCCUUUCCUUGGGCUCAGCAAUUCAAAUUCUAGUUGUUAUUUGGUGGAAGCAGUAGCCCAACCCCAGUUUAGGGGAAAGUAGCACAGGGCAGAGCCACUGGGCACUUUGUUUCCUUGGCCCUCCAAAGCUCACUGUUGCAAACAUCCCCAGGCCUUUGCUCUAGGCCAGAUCUUGUUUGGUACAGGUUAUGGAGAACACAGAUGACUCGGGCAUGGGUCUUGGAGAUCUUCUGUUCAAAGUACAGUGCUGGCACUGGGGCACAGAGUGCCCACGUUAGCCCCGGGCUGAUAGAGAGGUAGGAGGCACAUUCUUGGUCACUGUUCCAUUGCAGACCAGACUUGCUGGCCUGACCACAAGGGAGUGGCUGGGAACUCACAGCCAGCAUAGGGCCAUCCGCCCCAGCCUCCUGACCUGGAAUCAAGGCUGGGGAGGGGUUUGCAGGCAGGAAUAUGCUGACCUUUCACCCUGCCAUCCCAUCCCAACCCCAGCUCACUAGCCUUCACAUGUGCCUCAUACUUAAGAGUCACAGGGGCCAAAGGCCUGAGACCCCACCCUACCCCCAAACUGGCUAAGACAGCUUUCAGUUCCUGGCUCCCCAACUUGGUCUCUGCCCUGAGGCAGGGCACUGAACUCUGGGCUGCUUCUCUAUGUGUAAAAUGGGCACAUCUUCCUAAUCAGUUAAUGGUCAAUGGUGUCCCCAAGGAUAGUGCUGGCUCCCAUGGAAACCCUCACUCCUGGAGAUUCCAUUCCAUUCUCAAGUGUACAGCCACAGCAAGGAGCCUGACACUGAUUUGAUUGAUUGUGUGACACAAACCCCACCAAUUGUUAAUGCAAGUUUUUAUUUGGCUGUAUAUACAAUUUAAGCUAUUAAAAUUUGUACAAUAUUUACAAAUUAAAUAAUCAUCUG